rnacentral:rRNA from 1 species
AGAGUUUGAUCCUGGCUCAGAAUGAACGCUGGCGGCGUGCCUAACACAUGCAAGUCGGAUGUGCCCGCGAGGGUGCAUGGCAGACGGGUGAGUAACGCGUGGGGAACCUACCUCUUUGUGGGGAAUAACGCUCCGAAAGGAGUGGUAAUACCGCAUGAGACCGCAGACUGGGAUGUUUGCGGUGAAACCUGGGGACCGAAAGGCCUGGGGCAAGGAGAGGGUCCUGCGUCUGAUUAGCUAGUUGGUGGGGUAACGGCCUACCAAGGCAACGAUCAGUAGCCGGCCUGAGAGGGUGAUCGGCCACACUGGAACUGAGACACGGUCCAGACUCCUACGGGAGGCAGCAGUGGGGAAUUUUGCGCAAUGGGCGAAAGCCUGACGCAGCAACGCCGCGUGGGUGACGAAGGUCUUCGGAUCGUAAAACCCUGUCGUCAGGGACGAAGGUCAUCUGUUGAAUAGACGGGUGGCUUGACGGUACCUGGAGAGGAAGCCCCGGCUAACUCUGUGCCAGCAGUCGCGGUAAUACAGAGGGGGCAAGCGUUAUUCGGAAUUAUUGGGCGUAAAGGGCGCGUAGGCGGUUUUUUAAGUGAGAUGUGCAAUCCCCGGGCUUAACCUGGGAACUGCAUCUCAGACUGGAAGGCUAGAGUGCUGGAGAGGGUGGUGGAAUUCCACGUGUAGCGGUGAAAUGCGUAGAGAUGUGGAGGAACACCAGUGGCGAAGGCGGCCACCUGGACAGUAACUGACGCUGAGGCGCGAAAGUGUGGGUAGUAAACAGGAUUAGAUACCCUGGUAGUCCACGCUGUAAACGAUGAACACUUGGUGUGGUGGGAGUUGACCCCCGCCGUGCCGUAGCUAAUGCGAUAAGUGUUCCGCCUGGGGAGUACGGUCGCAAGGCUGAAACUUAAAGGAAUUGACCGG